GGGUCAGUAGGUUGGUCGUGCCACCGGUACGUACUGGUCUCACUGAUUCCUCCUUCCUGAAGAACCGUAAUGCCAUUAAUUUGGUGUUGCAGGGAAACAGGACUGUUACUUCGAAAAAAUUAGAGUGUUUAAAGCAAGCUAACGCUUGAAUACAUUAGCAUGGAAUAAUGAAAUAGGACGAUCGAUCCUAUUUUGUUGGUUUCUAGGAUUGACGUA
rnacentral:rRNA from 1 species